rnacentral:rRNA from 1 species
AUUGAACGCUGGCGGCAUGCUUUACACAUGCAAGUCGAACGGUAACAGGUUAAGCUGACGAGUGGCGAACGGGUGAGUAAUGUAUCGGAACGUGCCCAGUCGUGGGGGAUAACUGCUCGAAAGAGCAGCUAAUACCGCAUACGACCUGAGGGUGAAAGCGGGGGAUCGCAAGACCUCGCGCGAUUGGAGCGGCCGAUAUCAGAUUAGGUAGUUGGUGAGGUAAAGGCUCACCAAGCCGACGAUCUGUAGCUGGUCUGAGAGGACGACCAGCCACACUGGGACUGAGACACGGCCCAGACUCCUACGGGAGGCAGCAGUGGGGAAUUUUGGACAAUGGGCGCAAGCCUGAUCCAGCCAUGCCGCGUGCGGGAAGAAGGCCUUCGGGUUGUAAACCGCUUUUGUCAGGGAAGAAAAGGUUCUGGCUAAUACCUGGGACUCAUGACGGUACCUGAAGAAUAAGCACCGGCUAACUACGUG